ACAGAAAGACCCCAUGGAGCUUCACUGCAGCUUGAGAUUGAAUCCCGGUGAUACAUGCACAGGAUAGGUGGGAGGCUUUGAAGGAUGAUCUUCGGAUUAUCCUGAGCCGCUGUUGGGAUACCACCCUUGUGUUGCUGAGAUUCUAACGCGGAGAGUAACGACCUCGCGGACCAUCUCAGGCAGGCGGUUUGACUGGGGCGGUCGCCUCCUAAAGUGUAACGGAGGCGCCCAAAGGUUCCCUCAGGCCGGACAGAAACCGGCCGAAGAGUGCAAAGGCAGAAGGGAGCUUGACUGCGAGACCCACAAGUCGAGCAGAGACGAAAGUCGGGCUUAGUGAUCCGGUGGUUCUGAGUGGAAAGGCCAUCGCUCAACGGAUAAAAGCUACCCUGGGGAUAACAGGCUAAUCUCUCCCAAGAGUUCAUAUCGACGGGGAGGUUUGGCACCUCGAUGUCGGCUCAUCACAUCCUGGAGCUGGAGUAGGUUCCAAGGGUUGGGCUGUUCGCCCAUUAAAGUGGUACGCGAGCUGGGUUCAAAACGUCGUGAGACAGUUUGGUUCAUAUCCAUCGCGGGCGUAAGAAGUUUGAGGGAGGCUGCUCCUAGUACGAGAGGACCGGAGUGGACGGAUCAACGGUGUACCAGUUGUCACGCCAGUGGCACGGCUGGAAAGCCGCAUCCGGAAAGGAUAAACGCUGAAAGCAUCUAAGCGUGAAGCCCGUCCCGAGAUGAGACUUCUCAUCAGCAAUGAGUAAGACCCCUUAAAGACGAUGAGGUUGAUAGGCUGUGAGUGGAAGUGCCGCAAGGCAUGGAGCGACGCAGUACUAAUAGGUCGAGGUCUUGACUUA
rnacentral:rRNA from 1 species